rnacentral:rRNA from 1 species
UACGUAGGGGGCAAGCGUUGUCCGGAAUCAUUGGGCGUAAAGCGCGUGUAGGCGGCUGAGUAAGUCUGCUCUGAAAGCCCGGGGCUCAACCCCGGGAGGCGGGUGGAUACUGCUCAGCUCGAGUCCGGAAGAGGAGUGUGGAAUUCCUGGUGUAGCGGUGAAAUGCGCAGAUAUCAGGAGGAACACCAAUGGCGAAGGCAGCACUCUGGGGACGGUACUGACGCUGAGACGCGAAAGCGUGGGGAGCAAACAGG